rnacentral:lncRNA from 10 species
CCAUGGAAAGAACCAUUGAAUGUUACACAUUAAACAAGUCUAAUAUCAUUAGAAUUACUUUCCUAAUUAGAUGACAGUUGUGCAGAAGAUUCUGACCUUAUUUGAGGCUUACAUAUAGGUUUGGAGAUGUGGAAAGGAGUGGAAAAAGAAAUAUGUAAGCUGAAGUGCCAAACUCACACUGAAAUAAAGGGCAUGGCCUACCAGCUGACAAGGAGUGUCUGGUUUCAAGAUGGCAAAUGACCCUAAACAUGAUAGACAAAUACGUUUUACAUAGGUACAUGCACAGAUAGGCACAUAUAAAUCCACAUUUGCAAGCAAAAAGUGGAACCUGUAAAGCAGAAUUUCUGAGGAAUCUCUAAAAGACUAAUACUAUAUGGAAUUUGAAGAGGAAACCCAGAGCAGAAGCACAUAGUGAAGUACUGCCACAAAGAUGUGUGACGCCACUAAAGGUGCUCUAGACCCACAAGAAAGGAAAACUGGGAGCAGGACAACUAUCUGGAUAUUGACUGCACAUGCCAAUAUCUCAGUCAGACUAACAGAAUCAGAGCUUUAGGCAGAGAAAUGAAUGGUUGGAGAGAGAAGGCAAUGCCCAGGUGCCCUGCUUUGAAAUGUCCCGCCCAUCCCCAAAUUAGUCUGAAAAUUUCAAAUGUUGUAUAAAUUCCCUUCCCAUCAAAAGUGUCCCAUAAACAGCAGUGGUAGAAGAGUUUUAACUGAGUAUCACAGCUUCAAUGAUGAGUAUAGAAAACUCCAAAAAUCUGAAUACCAACACAAUCAAAAAAGAGGUACAAACCACAAGUGGAAGAACCAUCUCAAGAAAUAAUGAAGCAUUCAUGGAAUACAGAUUAGCAACUCUUUAAAACAGUAUUGCCAAGAGAAACAGAUGGCAUUGCAGUUGUCAGAUCUCAUUAAGGUCUUAUAUCUGAAACAGUUCCACUGUCUUCCAUAACUUUCAUAACUUUGAACAUUUUGGCUCAUAGGCGAAAGGGAAUUGCCUUAUUUCGAAUGAGACUUUGGACUGUGGACUUCUGAGUUGAUGCUGAAAUGAGUUAAGACUUUGGGGGACUGCUGGGAAGGCAUGAUUGGUUUUGAAAUGUGAGGACGUGAGAUUUGGGAGGGGUUGGGGUGGAAUGAUAUGGUUUGGCUGUGUCCUCACUCAAAUCUCAUCUUGAAUUCCCACAUGUUGUGGGAGGGAUCGGUGGGAGGUAAUUGACUCACGGGGCCAAGUCUUGCUGUUCUUGUGAUAGUGAAUAAGUCUCACAAGAUCUGAUGGUUUUAAAAAGAGGAGUUCCCCUGCACAAGUUCUCUCUCUUUGCCUACUGCCAUCUACGUUAAGACAUGACUUGCUCCUCCUUGCCUUCCACCAUGAUUGCAAGGUAUCCCCAGCCAUGUAGAACUGUAAGUCCAUUAAAUCCUUUUUCCUGUAUAAAUUACCCAGUUUCAGGUAUGUCUUUAUCAGCAGCAUGAAUAUGGACUAAUACAGAAAUUAAAAUGAUGCCUGACACAUAAUUGCUUAAUAAAUAUUAGCUAUUAUUAUUUGACAUU